AAUUGCCCGAAUACAUUAGCAUGGAAUAAUUCUAUAGGACUUUGGUUCUAUUUUGUUGGUUUCUAGGACUAAAGUAAUGAUUAAUAGGGACAAUUGGGGGCAUUCGUAUCAACACGCUAGAGGUGAAAUUCUUGGAUUGUGUUGCGACGAACUACUGCGAAAGCAUUUGCCAAGGAUGUUUUCAUUGAUCAAGAACGAAAGUAAGGGGAUCGAAGAUGAUUAGAUACCGUCGUAGUCCUUACCACAAACUAUGCCAACUAGAGAUGGGGCAUCGUUCAAUACGACUUGCUCCGCACCCUAUGAGAUAUCAAAGUCUUUGGGUUCCGGGGGGAGUAUGGUCGCAAGUCUGGAACUUAUAGGAAUUGACGGAAGGGCACCACCAGGAGUGGAGCCUGCGGCUUAAUUUGACUCAACACGGGGAAACUCACCAGGUCCAGACAUAAUAAGGAUUGACAGAUUGAUAGCUCUUUCUUGAUUUUAUGGGUGGUGGUGCAUGGCCGUUCUUAGUUCGUGGAGUGAUUUGUCUGCUUAAUUGCGUUAACGAACGAGACCUUAACCUGCUAAAUAGAAGCGUCUAUCUUCGGAUAAACGCCUUUCUUCUUAGAGGGACUUUGUGCGUUUCAGCAUGAGGAAGUUUGAGGCUAAAACAGGUCUGUGAUGCCCUUAGAUGUUCUGGGCUGCACGCGCGCUACACUGAUGCGUUCAACGAGUGUACAACCUUGCCCGAUAGGGUUGGGUAACCUUUUGAACACGCAUCGUGAUGGGGAUAGAUCAUUGCAAUUAUUGAUCUUCAACGAGGAAUUCCUAGUAAUGAUGGUUCAUCAGACCGUCGUGAUUACGUCCCUGCCCUAUGUACACACCGCCCGUCGCUCCUACCGAUUGAGCAAUCCGGUGAAUAUUUCGGACCGGACCUUGUCGGGGCAACUCGUUCAGGGACUGGAAAGUCAAGUUAACCUUAUUGCUUAGAGGAAGGAGAAGUCGUAACAAGGUUUCCGUAG
rnacentral:rRNA from 1 species